GACGAACGCUGGCGGCGUGCUUAACACAUGCAAGUCGAACGGAAAGGCCCUGCUUUUGUUGGGUGCUCGAGUGGCGAACGGGUGAGUAACACGUGAGUAACCUGCCCUUGACUUUCGGAUAACUUCAGGAAACUGGGGCUAAUACCCGAUAGGAUCUCCUGCUGCAUGUGGUUGGUUGGAAAGUUUCGGCGGUUCGGGCUGGACUCGCGGCUUAUCAGCUUGUUUGUGGGGUAGUGGCUUACCAAGGCUUUGACGGGUAGCCGGCCUGAGAGGGUGACCGGCCACAUUGGGACUGAGAUACGGCCCAGAAUCCUACGGGCGGCAGCAGUGGGGAAUCUUGCACAAUGGGCGGAAGCCUGAUGCAGCAACGCCGCGUGCGUGAUGCCGGCUUUCGGGUUGUAAACCGCUUUCGCCUGUGACGAAGAGUGAGUGACGGUAAUGGGUAAAGAAGCACCGGCUAACUACGUG
rnacentral:rRNA from 1 species